rnacentral:misc_RNA from 1 species
AAAGAAUACAGAAUCACAUGACACAGUUUCUAGCAUUGGCUACACCACUAACAUCAUGCAGCAACAGGCCAUGGAGCUCCUGCGGAGGGACAUCAAAAUAAUGAUCACCCAAUGGUAGUUGUUGACCCAUACCAGCAAGUCUAUCUGCAUUGGAGUUCCCCUCUCUAUAGAAAUAAUGAAGGUGAACCACCCAGUCUCUAGUCAACUCCAAUUUAGUAUAGCCAUCAACACUGCCCGAAUCCUUCUCCAAACAAUGCACAACCAUUUGACGAUCAGUCUCCAGCAUAAUCCUCCGAAAACCUUUAGUCCAAGCAAGUUGAAGACCAAGAAAUACCCUACCCCCCACAUUUCAGCCAUUAAAAUCGAAUAGAUUCUGAGGUUAGCAGCAAAACCACCCAACCCAGCCCCAGUAUGGGACCUAAUUAGGCCACCAGCAGCUGCCUUAUUGCUAUUACUAAGGAAGGACCCAUCAGUGUUCACCUCACGCCAA